GUUUUCUUCAACUUCUUUCACUUCUUAUUUGUCAAAAAAAAUCUACCUCACAAAUCAAUCAAAACUUCCUUCUUUCUUCCCCAAUUCCUCCAUUUUUUUGCUUACAUUCACACAAAUACACUCCAAAGUUUGUUCAAUUUGGUUAUAUAUAUACAUAUAUACGUAUAGUAGAGACCCAGUUCGCACGUUAAGAUCUGCAUCUAAAACGCGUCACUUUCAUUUCUCCUUACUUCUCAACUGGUGGGAAGAGCAAAUAAAAGAUUUGGAAAUUUUGAUGUAGAAGUGUGAAUGCUUCUAUUUGCUGCUUGGAGGGUAAAACUUGUUUCUGGCAGCAAAAAAUAAAGGCAAAUGGCUCCUUCAAGCAAGGCUAAUAAGAAGGCUGCAGGUGAUGUGGCUGCAUGGAUGUUCAAUGUGGUCACUUCAGUUGGAAUCAUUAUUGUUAACAAAGCCUUAAUGGCUAACUAUGGGUUUUUCUUUGCAACAACAUUAACGGGGAUGCAUUUUGUUACAACAACUUUGAUGACGAUUGUUCUAAGGUGGCUCGGGAUCAUCCAAGCUUCUCACUUACCCCUUCUAGAUCUUCUAAAAUUUGUACUGUGUGCAAACUUCUCUAUUGUUGGGAUGAACAUCAG
rnacentral:misc_RNA from 1 species